GACGAAGGGGCUAGCGUUGUUCGGAAUUACUGGGCGUAAAGCGCGUGUAGGCGGUUGCCAAAGUCGGGUGUGAAAGCCUUGAGCUCAACUCAAGAAAUGCACUCGAUACUUGGUGACUAGAGGACCGGAGAGGAUAGUGGAAUUCCCAGUGAUAGUGGUGAAAUACGUAGAGAUUGGGAAGAACACCCGUGGCGAAGGCGGCUACUCUGGACG
rnacentral:rRNA from 1 species